GGCUGUAUAGCUCAGUUGGCUAGAGCAUGCGGUUCAUACCCGCAGUGUCGUAGGUUCGACUCCUACUACAGCCACCA
rnacentral:tRNA from 1 species